AGGCUGCGGGUGUGACAGAGGAGCACCAUGGCGGGCGUGCAGGCCAUCUUUCCCUACCAAGAAUAUUUAGGAUGACAAUCAUUACAAUGCUGGGAGUGGGGCACAUCUUAUGUUCAAGAGGGCCGAGAAAGAUCGGAUUUUGGUUGACAAGAUUCUGGGAAUGGUAGAUGUUUUGACCACGAAAAUCAUAGCUUCGAAAAUGAAAGAGGAAGAGUUCACAUGAUAUGAUGGCGUACGUCUAUUUACUGAUACUUCAUUUCUAAAUGGUGUUUGUGUUUCUUUCUUCCUUGAG